rnacentral:lncRNA from 1 species
GCCAUGGGUCACCUGUCACACAGAGAACACACUGUGUACUCCUGUCAGUGUGAGAAGCCAUGGGAAAGGAGGUAGAGUGAAUUCAAGUCUUGCUUCACCCAUGCCACAUCCAAUUCUGGAGCACUGGAGGGCUCUCUCUGACCAGUCUCUCUACUGGGGAGCAGCCCAACUGGGAGCCACACCUGCAUUUAUAAAUUUGGGGUUUAUAGCGUGUCCUGUUGGAGAUAUUUUACUCUUCUUCCACUUUCACUCCACUCAAAUUUUUCUUGCAACUUAAUGUGCAAGUGUAUAGUUUUAUGAAAAAUUAAUUUUCUUAAUAUAAGUAUUUCCCCAUGAAUUAAAGCAAGAAUUUCUGCAAUGUUUUAUUAUUAUUAUUUUUUGGUUAAUCUUGAUAUCAGCAGUGCUUAUUCCGCAAAGAGAGUUAGACAGUCCUUGACUUUUGCAGAAUUUUUCAAGGUCUCCCCACUAUUAAAUAUCAGAUCUCCUGACCUCUGCUGAUUAGGACAUUUAUACUCCAGCCAACAAACAAAUGUUAAACUAUUUUUUUGGUGAUUCUGUCUGACUCCCACAUUCCAUUGUUGGCAGUGUGCAUUCAAGUAUUGUUUUCCAAUUAUUUGAAUACCUAUAACAUUUUGCUAUUAUCAUCUUAGAAAAAGUGAACAGAGGGUAGAAAAAAGGAAAAUGCUAAUAUUAGUGAUAGCCCAGACAAGUAUGUCAAAGGCAAGUAAUUAGUAGUCAGAUGUUUCAUGGACAUCAAAUGCUUGGCUGUGAGUUUAGUUGCAGAGGAAGAGACCCAGCCAGGACCACAGAUGACAUUCUGAAAUAUCAUCAAUGGCAAAGCAUGUCAAUAGAGGAUAUAGGGUGCCGGCCUAAGUAUAAAUGGAGAAUUAACAACCAAAUGUGGGGAGAUAUGCACAAGACGUAAAGGCACAACUUCUCACAGACCCCGUCUCACAGGAGAAGACACCUGGCAUCCAAAAUUCUCUUGAGAACAACUUUAAGAAAACUGAUCUGAUACUAUUAAAUAGAAUUGCUGUCAGUUAGUCUUUCCCCCAGCUUUAAAUAAGUUCCUUCCCCAAGCUGAGAUAACUGACAGUUGAAAUAAUAAAAAAUUAUUUCAAAACAUCUAUUUUAACUACCUACCUUUAAUGUUUAUUGUUUUUAGUGAAUUAAAUGAUCACUUACACAUUGUAAAUUCAAGCAAAAAAUUAUGUCUUUAAUCACAGUUAUGUAUUUUAUAAUGUUUUUGAGCUCUCUGGAAGCAGAAUCCUCUAUAUCUCUACUGUUUGACUUUCAGGCACUUGACUUUCCAAUGUACUUUCAGAAACUCAUUAUACAUAAAUGUAAAGGACUUUAUGAUUUA